rnacentral:rRNA from 1 species
GACGAACGCUGGCGGCGUGCUUAACACAUGCAAGUGGAGCGACGAACCGGGGGCUUGCCCCCGGGGCAGAGCCGCGAACGGGUGAGUAACACGUGGGUGACCUGCCUUUAGCUCUGGGAUAAGCCUGGGAAACUGGGUCUAAUACCGGAUAUGACUCCGCGGUGCACGCUGGUGGGGUGGAAAGCCUUGUGCGGCUGGAGAUGGGCCCGCGGCCUAUCAGCUUGUUGGUGGGGUGANGGCCUACCAAGGCGACGACGGGUAGCCGGCCUGAGAGGGCGACCGGCCACACGUGGGACUGAGACACGGCCCAGACUCCUACGGGAGGCAGCAGUGGGGAAUCUUGCGCAAUGGGCGAAAGCCUGACGCAGCGACGCCGCGUGAGGGAUGACGGCCU